rnacentral:rRNA from 1 species
GACGAACGCUGGCGGCGUGCUUAACACAUGCAAGUCGAACGGAAAGGCCCUGCUUUUGUGGGGUGCUCGAGUGGCGAACGGGUGAGUAACACGUGAGUAACCUGCCCUUGACUUUGGGAUAACUUCAGGAAACUGGGGCUAAUACCGGAUAGGAGCUCCUGCUGCAUGGUGGGGGUUGGAAAGUUUCGGCGGUUGGGGAUGGACUCGCGGCUCAUCAGCUUGUUGGUGGGGUAGUGGCUUACCAAGGCUUUGACGGGUAGCCGGCCUGAGAGGGUGACCGGCCACAUUGGGACUGAGAUACGGCCCAGACUCCUACGGGAGGCAGCAGUGGGGAAUAUUGCCCAAUGGGCGGAAGCCUGAUGCAGCAACGCCGCGUGCGGGAUGACGGCCUUCGGGUUGUAACCCGCUUUCGCCUGUGACGAAGCGUGAGUGACGGUAAUGGGUAAAGAAGCACCGGCUAACUACGUG